rnacentral:rRNA from 1 species
GACGAACCGUGCGAACGUUAUUCGGAAUCACUGGGCUUAAAGGGCGCGUAGGCGGGUUGCCAAGUCUGUGGUGAAAUCCUCCAGCUUAACUGGAGAACGGCCGUGGAUACUGGCGACCUCGAGGGGGGUAGGGGCUUGCGGAACUGUGCGUGGAGCGGUGAAAUGCGUUGAUAUGCACAGGAACUCCGGUGGCGAAGGCGGCGAGCUGGACCCUUUCUGACGCUGAGGCGCGAAAGCCAGGGGAGCGAACGGG